CAUUUAAACUUCAACAUUUCUGAGAUGCAUUUCACCUUUUGGAGCAGCCAAAAGUCACAGGUCUGCUAGACGAAGGCUACUGAUCCUGAUGUGGAGGGCUUGAGGUGGCCACUGUCUUCACAAUGAACCCAGUAGUUGGAAUCAGUUCACACAAAUCCAAAGCUUCCUGAUACAUACACACAUACAUACGGUACAGUAAUCGUGGUAGCAGACUUACCAUCAGUCAGCUGGAAACCAAAGGGCUCUGCAACAAAGUGUGGUUUGGGAUCAGCUGGCUCUGGAUUCGGCUCCGAGUUCUCUUGUAGAGGCACAAAUGGCUCAACUCUGGUCCCGCGGCAGCAGCAGAAGGAGGGCCACUUUAAGGGCUUCCGUGCUUUCUUAAAGACUGAAGAAAUCCCUUUCUUCAUCCUUUUCCUCAAACCGGGGUGUUUUUCUAAAAAUCAUUCAAAAAGACUGAAUCAUUUGCAUAUGCCAGUGCACUGUGCUGGUAUUUACUAUCUACACAAAUGUCCCAGGUUUUACUGUACUUUCGUUCUUACCUGUGCUGU